GUGCAGCAGGCGCGAAUACUUUACAAUGUGCGAAAGCACGAUAAGGGGACUCUGAGUGCCUCCUAAGGAGGCUGUUCUGAUGUCUAAAAAGCAACAGAAGUAAGGGCUGGGUAAGACCGGUGCCAGCCGCCGCGGUAACACCGGCAGCCCAAGUGGUAGCCACGUUUAUUGGGUCUAAAGCGUUCGUAGCCGGCCAGGUAAGUUCCUUGGUAAAUUUAGCCGCUUAACGGUUAAGCUUUCAGGGAAUACUGCUUGGCUUGGGACUGGGAGAGGUCAGAGGUACUCCGGGGGUAGGGGUGAAAUCUAUUAAUCCCUGGGGGACCACCGGUAGCGAAGGCGUCUGACCAGACCAGGUCCGACGGUGAGGGAC
rnacentral:rRNA from 1 species